AAGUCAGGGCCAUGCUGUUCAGAUAUCAUUGAAAGAUAUCUUUUUGAAAGAAAGGAUCACAAGGAGGAGGCUCAGUGUUCUCUCCUGAGCAUGAAGCUGUCUUUAGAUGUUGCUUCUGCAACUGCCUAUUGCCAUUGAUAAUUGUACUUUUCCUCCUUUGGAGGAAUAAGAGGAAGAGGAAACAGUCUGAGUGGU
rnacentral:snoRNA from 1 species